rnacentral:rRNA from 1 species
UACAGAGGGUGCAAGCGUUGCUCGGAAUCAUUGGGCGUAAAGGGUAUGUAGGUGGUCUCAUUUGUCUGGGGUGAAAGCCCAGGGCUUAACCCUGGAAGUGCCCCGGAAACGGUGAGACUGGAGUCUUGGAGAGGGUCGUGGAAUUCCCGGUGUAGCGGUGAAAUGCGUAGAGAUCGGGAGGAACACCAGAGGCGAAGGCGGCGACCUGGACAAGCACUGACACUCAACUACGAAAGCGUGGGGAGCAAACAGG